rnacentral:rRNA from 1 species
UACAGGGGGGGGCAAGCGUUUGUUCGGAAUUACUGGGCGUAAAGGGCUCGUAGGUGGCCAACUAAGUCAGACGUGAAAUCCCUCAGCUUAACUGGGGAACUGCGUCUGAUACUGGAUGGCUUGAGUUUGGGAGAGGGAUGCGGAAUUCCAGGUGUAGCGGUGAAAUGCGUAGAUAUCUGGAGGAACACCGGUGGCGAAGGCGGCAUCCUGGACCGACAUUGACGCUGAGGAGCGAAAGCCAGGGGAGCAAACGGG